rnacentral:rRNA from 1 species
CAGAGCGAACGCUGGCGGCAGGCCUAACACAUGCAAGUCGAGCGUNUUCUUCGGAGGGAGCGGCGGACGGGUGAGUAACGCGUGGGAACGUGCCCUUCNCUAUGGAAUAGCCACUGGAAACGGUGAGUAAUACCAUAUACGCCCUUCGGGGGAAAGAUUUAUCGGAGAAGGAUCGGCCCGCGUUAGAUUAGGUAGUUGGUGGGGUAAUGGCCUACCAAGCCUACGANCUAUAGCUGGUUUUAGAGGAUGANCAGCCACACUGGGACUGAGACACGGCCCAGACNCCUACGGGAGGCAGCAGUGGGGAAUCUUAGACAAUGGGCGCAAGCCUGAUCUAGCCAUGCCGCGUGAGUGAUGAAGGCCUUAGGGNCGUAAAGCU